rnacentral:rRNA from 1 species
UUUCCCUCAGGAUAGCUGGCACUCGCGUGAGCGAGUCUCAUCUGGUAAAGCGAAUGAUUAGAGGCCUUGGGGCCGAAACGACCUCAACCUAUUCUCAAACUUUAAAUGGGUGAGAUCUCUGGCUUGCUUGAACGUUGAAGCCACGAGAUAUCAUGGAUCAGAGUGCCAAGUGGGCCAAUUUUGGUAAGCAGAACUGGCGCUGUGGGA